CAACCCUUAAGCCUAGCUUAGUGUUGGGAAUCUACUCUAGCGGAGCUACCCUGUAGCUACCCUGUAGUUCCUGAAAUCAAACGGCGGAUUUAUAGUAUCCUCUGAGCGUAGUAAAUUUUUAUCUCGCUUUUGUGGUGCUAUAACUCUUGCCGCUAAACCCCCAAUUUUUAAU
rnacentral:misc_RNA from 1 species